rnacentral:rRNA from 1 species
UACGAAGGGGGGCUAGCGUUGCUCGGAAUCACUGGGCGUAAAGGGUGCGUAGGCGGGUCUUUAAGUCAGAGGUGAAAGCCUGGAGCUCAACUCCAGAACUGCCUUUGAUACUGAGGAUCUCGAGUUCGGGAGAGGUGAGUGGAGCUGCGAGUGUAGAGGUGAAAUUCGUAGAUAUUCGCAAGAACACCAGUGGCGAAGGCGGCUCACUGGCCCGAUACUGACGCUGAGGCACGAAAGCGUGGGGAGCAAACAGGG